CGCCCGUUGCGCCGUUGCAGCGGUUAAUUUCAAACUGUUCGAGACGCCGCUGGAGGAUGGAGCUGAGGAACAUGUCGGCGUCUCGAUAGGAGUGCGGUAAUUUCCAGCGCGAACAGCUCAAGCACAGGUUGAGUGAGUAUCCCUCGUAGGUAACGGAUGCACCACAUGCGGCCACAGUCUAUACAGUCGAUUCAGCCCACCGAGUUCAUGAAAAUGAAAACGAUCCUGGCUAUGCUUCUAGGCACAUUAGCGUGGUGUGCUACUUUUAGUUUGUGGUCGAUUCACUGCAGUUUUCAUCUUACAUAUUCUUUUAGGACUCGGAAAGUGUCUCUUUGAGCAAGCUUGGAAUCAUUUACCGUCUAAUGCGCUACAGUGUUCUUUGACGGCGGAACUUCUACUUGGCCGGUGAGUUCCAGCGAUUGGAAAACACGAAGGAACAAUGAAAUCGGUUCGUUCAUAAGGCAACAAGGGACCAGAGGCUACAGUUGCGUCGCUAGCAGGCAGGACCCGAGCUAAUUAUACUGGUGAGUAACAUCGACGAUCCUUCUUAUUUACAUAAGGUGGUGAUAUUGUGAUCGUGAUCUAUAUAA